ACAAGCUUUUAAGAGCAGAUGGCGGAUGCCUUGCCAAAGAGAGGCGAUGAAGGACGUACUAGACUGCGAUAAGCUAUGCGGAGCUGUCAAGGAGCAUUGAUGCGUAGAUGUCCGAAUGGGGCAACCCAACUAAUAGAGAUAUUAGUUACUCUAAUAUAGAGAGCGAACCUAGUGAAGUGAAACAUCUCAGUAACUAGAGGAAAAGAAAUCAACGAGAUUCCCUAAGUAGUGGCGAGCGAAAGGGGAAAAGGGCAAACCGAGUGCUUGCAUUCGGGGUUGAGGACUGCAAUAUCCACUAGAACACUUUAGCAGAGUUACCUGGAAAGGUAAGCCAUAGAAAGUGAUAGCCUUGUAUGCGACAAGGUGUUCUUAGGUAGCAGUAUCCAGAGUAGGCCGAGACACGUGAAAUCUUGGUUGAAGCCGGGGAGACCACUCUCCAACCCUAAAUACUACUCUUUGAGCGAUAGCGAACAAGUACCGUGAGGGAAAGGUGAAAAGAACCGCAGUGAGCGGAGUGAAAUAGAACCUGAAACCAUCUGCUUACAAUCAUUCAGAGCCCUAUGAUUUAUCAGGGUGAUGGACUGCCUUUUGCAUAAUGAUCCUGCGAGUUGUGGUAUCUGGCAAGGUUAAGCGUAUGCGAAGCCGUAGCGAAAGCGAGUCUGAAUAGGGCGAUUAAGUCAGAUGCUGCAGACCCGAAGCUAAGUGAUCUAUCCAUGGCCAAGUUGAAACGAGUGUAAUAGCUCGUGGAGGACUGAACUCGUACCCAUUGAAACGGGUUGGGAUGAGCUGUGGAUAGGGGUGAAAGGCCAAACAAACUUAGUGAUAGCUGGUUCUCUUCGAAAUAUAUUUAGGUAUAGCCUCAAGUGAUAAUAAAAGGGGGUAGAGCACUGAUUGGGCUAGGGCUGCUCGCCGCGGUACCAAACCCUAUCAAACUUCGAAUACCUUUUAUCGUAUCUUGGGAGUCAGGCGGUGGGUGAUAAAAUCAAUCGUCAAAAGGGGAACAACCCAGACUACCAAAUAAGGUCCCUAAGUUCUAUUCUGAGUGGAAAAAGAUGUGUGGCUACUCAAACAACCAGGAGGUUGGCUUAGAAGCAGCCAUCCUUUAAAGAAAGCGUAACAGCUCACUGGUCUAGUGGUCAUGCGCUGAAAAUAUAACGGGGCUAAGAUAGACACCGAAUUUGUAGAUUGUGCUGAUGCACAGUGGUAGAAGAGCGUUCUAUACAGCGUUGAAGGUAUACCGGUAAGGAGUGCUGGAGCGUAUAGAAGUGAGCAUGCAGGAAUGAGUAACGAUAAGAUAUAUGAGAAUUGUAUCCGCCGUAAAUCUAAGGUUUCCUACGCGAUGGUCGUCAUCGUAGGGUUAGUCGGGUCCUAAGCCGAGUCCGAAAGGGGUAGGCGAUGGCAAAUGGGUUAAUAUUCCCAUACCGACUAUGGAGCGUGAUGGGGGGACGCAUAGGGUUAAGCGAGCUAGCUGAUGGAAGUGCUAGUCGAAGGGCGUAGAUUGGAGGGAAGGUAAAUCCACCUCUGUAUUCGAAACCUGACAGGCUCUUUGAGUUCUUUUAGAACAAAGAGAGAAUCGCUGAUACCGUCGUGCCAAGAAAAGCCUCUAAGCAUAUCCAUGGUCGUCCGUACCGCAAACCGACACAGGUAGAUGAGAUGAGUAUUCUAAGGCGCGUGAAAGAACUCUGGUUAAGGAACUCUGCAAACUAGCACCGUAAGUUCGCGAUAAGGUGUGCCACAGCAAUGUGGUCUCAGCAAAGAGUCCCUCCCGACUGUUUACCAAAAACACAGCACUUUGCCAACUCGUAAGAGGAAGUAUAAGGUGUGACGCCUGCCCGGUGCUCGAAGGUUAAGAGGAUGCGUCAGUCGCAAGAUGAAGCGUUGAAUUGAAGCCCGAGUAAACGGCGGCCGUAACUAUAACGGUCCUAAGGUAGCGAAAUUCCUUGUCGGUUAAAUACCGACCUGCAUGAAUGGCGUAACGAGAUGGGAGCUGUCUCAACCAGAGAUUCAGUGAAAUUGUAGUGGAGGUGAAAAUUCCUCCUACCCGCGGCAAGACGGAAAGACCCCGUGGACCUUUACUACAGCUUAGCACUGCUAAUGGGAAUAUCAUGCGCAGGAUAGGUGGGAGGCUUUGAAGUAAGGGCUUUGGCUCUUAUGGAGCCAUCCUUGAGAUACCACCCUUGAUGUUUCUGUUAGCUAACUGGCCUGUGUUAUCCACAGGCAGGACAAUGCUUGGUGGGUAGUUUGACUGGGGCGGUCGCCUCCUAAAAAGUAACGGAGGCUUGCAAAGGUUGGCUCAUUGCGGUUGGAAAUCGCAAGUUGAGUGUAAUGGCACAAGCCAGCCUGACUGUGAGACAUACAAGUCAAGCAGAGACGAAAGUCGGUCAUAGUGAUCCGGUGGUUCUGUGUGGAAGGGCCAUCGCUCAAAGGAUAAAAGGUACCCCGGGGAUAACAGGCUGAUCUCCCCCAAGAGCUCACAUCGACGGGGAGGUUUGGCACCUCGAUGUCGGCUCAUCGCAUCCUGGGGCUGGAGCAGGUCCCAAGGGUAUGGCUGUUCGCCAUUUAAAGCGGUACGCGAGCUGGGUUCAGAACGUCGUGAGACAGUUCGGUCCCUAUCUGCCGUGGGCGUAGGAAAGUUGAGGAGAGCUGUCCCUAGUACGAGAGGACCGGGAUGGACGUGUCACUGGUGCACCAGUUGUUCUGCCAAGAGCAUCGCUGGGUAGCUACACACGGAUGUGAUAACUGCUGAAAGCAUCUAAGCAGGAAGCCAACUCCAAGAUUAACUUUCCCUGAAGCUCGCACAAAGACUAUGUGCUUGAUAGGGUAGAUGUGUAAGCAUAGUAAUAUGUUUAGCUGACUACUACUAAUAGAGCGUUUGGCUUGUUUUU
rnacentral:rRNA from 1 species